UGGAUCCCAACGAAUCCCACCAACUCCAUUGUCUUUGAUCCUCAUCCCUCCCCAUCGAAGACGAUGAUCUCUCUCUCUCUCCUCCUUCGUUCCCUCUUUUUCCUCUUCUUAACUAGAUCUUUGUUUGAUUAGAUCGGGUGCUUUUAUUUUUCUUUCUUUUUCUAAGAUUUUGUUGGAUGUCACGGAUGGAUUUGGCAGAUCAAAGAUGUUAUUUGGGGUUUUUUUUUAUUUUUUUAUUUUUAUGGUUUGCUCUGUUUAAUUUGGCUCGGUUUGAUACUCGUAAGUGAUGGAGAUGUAUAAAGUUAGUGUUUUUUGUGGUGGUUGUGCUAUUUGAUUUGGUCUUGGGUCGCUCAUAUUAGUUUGGAAAUGAAGAACUAAUUGUUUUCUGUCUGGAAGUUUGAGAUUGGGCUUUUCUUAGAUUGGCCUGAUUUUUAGAAGAGAUUAAGUGUGGAAAGUUGUGAUAUUUAUGUAUGGUGUUGAUAAGAUGAGAAUGUUGUAACUCAUGUGAUGUUGUUGUAAGUUGUAAGGUUCCUCUGUUGGAGAAUGAAAUGUUAAACCUGUUCAUUGAGUCAUGACUCAUGUGAUGUUUUUCCAUUGUUUUCUCAACUUGCAGGUCCACUGAAAAUGUUGUGUGUGCAUGUCUACUCUACCCAUAUGUAUUUUUCCAACCGUGAAAAUGACCAGACUUCUUCUAAUGAAGGCUUCCUUGUGGUUGUGUCAAGUGCUAUUAUAGAUAAAUAUAUUGGUGAAAGUGCUUGUCUCAUAAGGGAGAUGUUCGGAUAUGCCCGGGAUCAUCAGGUCAAGAUCAUGGCAACAAAUUGACCAGAUGUUCUGAUCCUGCACUUCUUCGCCCAGGCAGAUUAGAUAAGGAAAAUAUAGAUUCCACUGCCGAAUGAACAAUCAAGAAUGGAAAUUUCAAAAAUUCACGCAGCUGGUAUUGCUAAACAUUGUGAGAUCGACAAUGAGGCAGUUGUUAAGCAUGCUGAAUGUUUUAAUGGAGUAGACCUUCUCAAUGUCUGCACUGAAAUUGGAAUGUCAGUAAUCUGUGCCAAGUGUGAUUACGUUAUCCAUGAGGAUUUUAUGAAGGCAUGAACUUCGUACUUGAUUAAAUAAAUUAGCUACUUCUUGUUUGUGCGCUUGGAUAUAGUGUUGAGAAAUUAACAUGUUUUGUUGUGGUCUUCGUCAUUGAUCUUAUGCAGGAUGUUUAUUUUUCUUAUAUAUCUGAGUGUUGCUUGUUGUUUUUCUAGUUUGCACUUAUAACAUGGUUUGAAUUUUCCAUACAUGGACAGCUGUAUAGAUGUCCUACUUGUUUGUGUUGUUAUAGUGUGCUGGGUGCAAAUUUUCCCUUUUUUUUCCUGGCUAAAUGUUAAGGCCCCAACUAUGGGUGUAGGUUUAGUUGUUCUAAUACAGUCAAAUCUUUCAAUGUUAUUGCUCCUUGCAGAUGGAGAAUUGUAGCAAGUAUC